CGCCUUGCCAGCCCGCUCAGAACUUAAAGGAAUUGACGGGGCCCGCACAAGCGGUGGAGCAUGUGGUUAAUUCGAUGAUACGCGAGGAACCUUACCUGGGCUCAAAUGUAUGUUGACGUAUUCUGAAAGGGAUACUUCUUCGGACAAUAUACAAGGUGCUGCAUGGUUGUCGUCAGCUCGUGCCGUGAGGUGUCGGGUUAAGUCCCAUAACGAGCGCAACCCCUAUCAUUAGUUGCCAUCAGGUCAAGCUGGGGACUCUAAUGAAACUGCCUACGCAAGUAGUGAGGAAGGUGGGGAUGACGUCAAAUCAGCACGGCCCUUACGUCCAGGGCUACACACGUGCUACAAUGGCCGGUACAAAGGGCAGCUACCUGGUGACAGGAUGCUAAUCUCAAAAGCCGGUCUCAGUUCGGAUCGGAGUCUGCAACCCGACUCCGUGAAGCUGGAAUCGCUAGUAAUCGUGGAUCAGCCAAGCCGCGGUGAAUACGUUCCCGGGCCUU
rnacentral:rRNA from 1 species